rnacentral:rRNA from 1 species
GACGAACGCUGGCGGCGUGCUUAACACAUGCAAGUCGAACGGACAGACCCUGCUUUUGCGGGGUGCUCGAGUGGCGAACGGGUGAGUAACACGCGAGUAACCUGCCCUUGACUUUGGGAUAACUUCACGAAACUGGGGCUCAUACCGGAUAGGAGCUCCUGCUGCAUGGGGUGGGUUGGAAAGAUUCGGCUGUUUGGGAUGGACUCGCGGCUUAUCAGCUUGUUAGUGUGGUAGGUGCUUACCACGGCUUUGACGGCUAGCCGGCAUGAGAGGGUUACCGGCGACAUGACGACUGAGAUACGGCGCAGUAGGGUACGGUAGGCAGCGGGGGGGAAUAUUGCGCAAUAGGGCGAAGCGUGAUGCGGCAACGCCGCGAGCGGGAUGACGGCUUUCGGGUGGUGAACCAAUUUGGCAGGUGACGAGGCGGGAGUGACGGUAAUGGGUAAGGAAGCACCGGCUAACUACGUG